GGAUCCGGAUUCUGAGAAAUCAAUUUUUCGCAGUAGGUGUGCCACUUUGGAAGGAGGAUUUGGGCAUGGUCCAGUUAGAUAGGGAAGGGGUUUGGUAGCAUGGAUUCACUUGUCGGACUCCUGAAAGCUGUGCCAUAAGCUUGCUACGAGGGGGGUUUCAUGCCAAUUUCUCCUCGCCGAUUUCAAGAUCUUCGUGCACCUGAGCAUUGAUUGGGCACGCUCACAUGAAGCAUUUUACGCGCAGUGAGGGAAAUGCAUCAGUACAGUACAGUAUUUUUGAAUUAUUUCAAAAACGUUGUCAACACUAGUAAUAGCACUCGACUCGUCUCGACUCGAUUGAAGGAUUACUUAUUAGUGGUGUCGAGUCUGAAGCCCGAGCCAAUGCUGUAGUUGCUGAAGCCCCAUCCUAUGGAAUACUACCAACUCCCCGGCACAAGUCUGUGAUGCCGUACUGCACUGCAGACGCGUGCUCGACCCCGUUGGAAAUGUACGCAACAGUGCCCACCCUCCUGACCAGGGAUCGCACAAACCCUGCGUUUUGUCGGGUCUGUUCGACUCCUGGCUCUUGACCUUUGGUCGGUGUACGAGAUGCACGAACAGUUUUCGUAGGCUGCGCAAGGAAUUCAAACUGACGCACUGUCACUAUCAACGUUUUCAUUGCUGAGAUCAUCACUCGUACACGCAGCUGAUCCAUCACUAUCGGACACACGAGUCGUCACAAUCUGAGUUUGGCUGGGCAUGAUUGGACUCAGUUUCGAGUUGCGAUACGUCACCGGACGUACUUUGCUGUGGUGGUUGCUCUGGCCUACUGUUGAGCGGACUUGCGCAUGUACCUUCGCAGCGGCAGAUGUCAGUGCACGCAAGAGAUGACUUCUUGCAUGAGCAGCGUUGAGUGUCACACACUCCUCGGCACCCGCAGCUGAUGAGGCUCUGCAGUUCUUUUGGCACUGCCUGCUGUUCUGUCCAAUUCACAGCAACUCUGCCUGAAGGAAGAAACAAACAUUGUCACAGACAGUUAAUUUAUUCCUCGCGUAUAUUUUUGCAGUAGACAGUCAUAGAUAUCUGGUUAAAUGGGAAGGGCAGCACUGUAUCCUUUAUCCUUUUAUCUGCUAAUUACAAUUCUUUCAACCUUGCAGUAUGUUUCUCAAUAUCCGCAGACUCCACUGUAGCCUUUGUAGACGCGUACCAUACCAUAAUAAUUACACAAGUGUAAAUUUCCUCACGCGAUCCAAAGUUGGGUACAUUAUCGGUGCUAAUUAUUUAUCGGAACAACUUACCGUCGCUGUCUUGAAUCCAUCCUCUGCCGAUGGGCGUAGGCACAUCGGGCUUCGGUUGCAAAGCCAGUCGCCACACAGUAGCCUGGUAAUUAGCGCGUGCUGUGUGGACAUUAUGUAGCUCUAACACA